ACCCAAGGUGCAUGCCGAGGGGCGGUUGGCCUCGUAAAAAGCCGCAAAAAAAUAGUCGCAAACGACGAAAACUACGCUUUAGCAGCUUAAUAACCUGCUUAGAGCCCUCUCUCCCUAGCCUCCGCUCUUAGGACGGGGAUCAAGAGAGGUCAAACCCAAAAGAGAUCGCGUGGAUGCCCUGCCUGGGGUUGAAGCGUUAAAACUAAUCAGGCUAGUCUGGUAGUGGCGUGUCCGUCCGCAGCUGCCAGGCGAAUGUAAAGACUGGACUAAGCAUGUAGUACCGAGGAUGUAGGAAUUUCGGACGCGGGUUCAACUCCCGCCAGCUCCACCA
rnacentral:tmRNA from 1 species